GUUUGCACCCUUGUCCUUUAAAAGGAAGGUCAUGGAGCUUGCUUUUGGGGGAAGUUGAGCACAGGUAGAAAGAUUAGGCUUUUGGAACAAGAAGGUGCUUUAGCCUUGGUUCUCUCAGUUCAACAGGCUGACUGGGUGCUUGGAAAAAGUUUAUCUUUGAAGUGCCAGUUUCAAUUGGAUUAAUUUCCUUGAGAAAUCCUAUGAACUUCUGGAAGAUUUUGUUUCAGUUAGGGUUGAGCAUGGCUGUCUCUUCUUCUAGAGAUAACUAAUUUUCAUUUGAUUUAGAUGUAUUUUUCUUAGUUUGCUUAUAAUCUGGCUUCAAGCAAAAGUGGAAAAAACCCACAAACAAACUCAGAGCUCCUUUUUCACUGCCCUGUCAUAGCACCAGGUUUGUGGGUUUGUAACCUGUGUGUAGAACAAGAAAAUCCUUCUUGGAUCUUCAGAAGCCUGGAGGAAAAAACUAAAACCUUUCUGCUGUGCAAGCCAUCUGAGAGGCCUCAUUCAGGGUCAUCCAGUGCUGUGUGGGGAGACAGAGCCUCGCUCGUGACCAGAGGAAAUGGAAAUGUGUGUCUGAGUGGAAACCACAGCUCCUGUGCUGGCCUGGAGCAUCCUUCUCCUGCCUGGUAUUUCCCACUCAGCAGCAAUCCAUGCUGGAGCACAGUGAUCCCAGGGAUGUCUGCAUAGCUGAAGGUCUCUCUGGCCUCCUCACCUGAAUCCAUAACCAAAAUGACUUCAGCAGUGAUGGAAUCCCUCUGAAAGUUUGAUUCUGGACAGUUCAUCAGCUGGUGGCACAAACUGCUUUGCAUAGUUGUGCUGAAGGAGAGGAGCUGACCUUACACAGAACUGAGUCACUGCCCAGGGAUGGGGAAACUUCUCCUGACAUCCAUGCUGGGCCAAGGUGGGAGGGAGAAGUGCUGGGGAUUACAGUGGGGAUUACAGCUCAGGAACAUGGAAUACCUCUUUACAACAAACAAAACAACAAAGUCAUUCACAUCAAAUGCAGUAAUCAACCUAGGAGCAGUCCCUGCUUUACUGGAGAGGAGAGAUGGGAACAGAAGAUAUUGAGCUGCAGAGGGGACGUGUGAGCCUGGGGUACCAACCAGCCCAGCUGCUCUCUGUGACUGCACUAACAGUGAGGAAAUCCCAGCUUUAUUACACAGACCAGCUCGCCUGGCUGUGUUGGCAGGGCUGUGGC